AUUGAACGCUGGCGGAAUGCUUUACACAUGCAAGUCGAACGGCAGCACGGGGGCAACCCUGGUGGCGAGUGGCGAACGGGUGAGUAAUACAUCGGAACGUGCCCAGUCGUGGGGGAUAACGUAGCGAAAGUUACGCUAAUACCGCAUACGAUCUAUGAAUGAAAGCGGGGGACCGUAAGGCCUCGCGCGAUUGGAGCGGCCGAUGUCAGAUUAGGUAGUUGGUGGGGUAAAGGCCCACCAAGCCGACGAUCUGUAGCUGGUCUGAGAGGACGACCAGCCACACUGGGACUGAGACACGGCCCAGACUCCUACGGGAGGCAGCAGUGGGGAAUUUUGGACAAUGGGCGCAAGCCUGAUCCAGCUAUUCCGCGUGCAGGACGAAGGCCUUCGGGUUGUAAACUGCUUUUGUACGGAACGAAAAGGUCCUGGUUAAUACCCGGGGCUCAUGACGGUACCGUAAGAAUAAGCACCGGCUAACUACGUGCCAGCAGCCGCAGUAA
rnacentral:rRNA from 1 species